UCAGUUACAGCACUGGUUUUUGACAAGCUGGGCUGAAAGUCCAGGAAUGAACAAAACCCAAAGGAUCUCUGGUUGGAUAAAAAGAGCCUCUCCCUUUCCAGAGGGGACUUUGUUGUUGGGGAGCUGUUCAGACUGUGACAGACGUCUGCUAGAGUGUUCAAAGAAGCUAAGCCUGCCUGGCCCAUUAGCACAGGAUGGUAGGGCUUUAGUGGAAGUCUAUUUGCAUACUGAGUCCAGCGAGUAUGGGGACUACAGGAAAAGAAAUUAACAGGAAGAAGUGAACAGAGAGGGGACCAUACUUACAGAUGAAGGACAAAGGACUAAGGCUAAUAAAUCUAGGGAUGACAAAUUGCCAGUUCUCCUGGGACUGGAUCCGCAAACAGGGAAACUUGCCACUGAUCCCAAAGAGUCCAGAAACUGAGAGCAAGGACCUAUUAGUUCAAGAAGGUAUUUAAGCAAGUGAGUAGUCCUAUUUAAGUCAGUGAGACUACUCACAUGCUCAAAGUUAGACACAUGCCUGAGAGACUGG